UUUACAAAGGGUCUGUAAUCUGGCAAAAUAUCUAAUCGCGUAGGUCUGAAAGUAUCAGACCCAUUCUUAAUUUAAAGAAUGUCCAAGCGUG
rnacentral:sRNA from 2 species